rnacentral:rRNA from 1 species
AGUGCGUAAUAGCUCACUGGUCGAGUGACUCUGCGCCGAAAAUUCAACGGGGCUAAACUAUACACCGAAGCUUGGGAUACAUCUAAUGUAUGGUAGGAGAGCGUUCUGUAUGGGGAGAAGUCGUAGCGAAAGCGGCGGUGGACUAUACAGAAGUGAGAAUGCCGGAAUAAGUAGCGAGAAUUAAGUGAGAAUCUUAAUGGCCGAAAGUCUAAGGUUUUUGGAGGAAGGUUCGUCCGCUCCAAGUAAGUCGGGAGCUAAGGUCAGGCCGAAAGGCGUAGCCGAUGCACAUACGGUUGAUAUUCCGUAACCAUCUGUAAUUUAAGCAAAGGGACACUUCAAAAGGGUGUGACCCGGGCGUUGGUUGACCCGGGCGUAAGGGACCGAAAUUAGAGUAGGGAAGCACACUUAGCUGAAGGCGAGAAAAGCUUUGCGUAUAGAAACAGAUGCCCGUACCGCAAACCGACACAGGUGGACAGGAAGAGAAUUCUAAGGCCAGCGGGAGAAGGGUAGUUAAGGAACUCGGCAAAUUGACUCCGUAACUUCGGAAUAAGGAGUGCUCGAAUGAGCCGCAGAGAAUAGGCCCAGGCGACUGUUUAGCAAAAACACAGGUCUCUGCCAAAUCGAAAGAUGAAGUAUAGGGGCUGACACCUGCCCGGUGCCGGAAGGUUAAGAGGAGGAGUGAGAGCUCCGAAUUGAAGCCCCGGUAAACGGCGGCCGUAACUAUAACGGUCCUAAGGUAGCGAAAUUCCUUGUCGGGUAAGUUCCGACCCGCACGAAUGGUGUAACGAUCUGGGCACUGUCUCAACUACCCACCCGGCGAAAUUGUAGUACCGGUGAAGAUGCCGGUUACCUGCGGCAAGACGGAAAGACCCCAUGGAGCUUUACUGUAGCCUGAUAUUGGGUUUCGGAAAUCUAUGUACAGGAUAGGCGGGAGACUGGGAAACAUGAGCGUCAGCUUGUGUGGAGUCGAUGUUGGGAUACCGCCCUUAGGUUUCUGGAAUUCUAACCUGCGGCCGUGAAUCCGGUCGGGGGACAUUGUCAGGUGGGCAGUUUGACUGGGGCGGUCGCCUCCGAAAAGGUAACGGAGGCGCUCAAAGGUUAGCUCAGCACGGACGGAAACCGUGCCUCUGAGUGUAAACGCAAAAGCUAGCCUAACUGCGAGGGUGACGGCCCGAGCAGUAACGAAAGUUGGAGUUAGUGAUCCGGCGGUAUGA